UAGGGAAUCUUCCGCAAUGGACGCAAGUCUGACGGAGCAACGCCGCGUGAGUGAAGAAGGAUUUCGGUUCGUAAAACUCUGUUGUUAGAGAAGAACAGCGCAUAGAGUAACUGUUAUGCGUGUGACGGUAUCUAACCAGAAAGCCACGGCUAACUACGUGCCAGCAGCCGCGGUAAUACGUAGGUGGCAAGCGUUGUCCGGAUUUAUUGGGCGUAAAGCGAGCGCAGGCGGUCAAUUAAGUCUGAUGUGAAAGCCCCCGGCUCAACCGGGGAGGGUCAUUGGAAACUGGUUGACUUGAGUGCAGAAGAGGAGAGUGGAAUUCCAUGUGUAGCGGUGAAAUGCAUAGAUAUAUGGAGGAACACCGGUGGCGAAGGCGACUCUCUGGUCUGUAACUGACGCUGAGGCUCGAAAGCGUGGGUAGCAAACAGG
rnacentral:rRNA from 1 species